rnacentral:lncRNA from 1 species
AAUAAUAAUAAUAAUAAUAAUAAAGAGGGUUGGAAGAGACCCUUUGGGCCAUUGAGUCCAAUCUCCUUCUGCCUUUGUGCACCGAAAGCACAAGCAAAGCAUCCCUGACAGAUGGCCACCCAGCCUCAAUGUUAAUAAUAAUAAUAAUAAUAAUAAUAAUAAUAAUAAUAAUAAUAAUAAUAAUGAGGGUUGGAAGAGACCCCUUGGGCCAUUGAGUCCAAUCCCUUGCUGCCUUUGUGCACCGAAAGCACAAGCAAAGCAUCCCUGACAGAUGGCCACCCAGCCUCAAUGUUAAUAAUAAUAAUAAUAAUAAUAAUAAUAAUAAUAAUAAUAAUAAUAAAGAGGGUUGGAAGAGACCCCUUGGGCCAUUGAGUCCAAUCCCUUGCUGCCUUUGUGCACCGAAAGCACAAGCAAAGCAUCCCUGACAGAUGGCCACCCAGCCUCAAUGUUAAUAAUAAUAAUAAUAAUAAUAAUAAUAAUAAUAAUAAUAAUAAUAAUAAUGAGGGUUGGAAGAGACCCCUUGGGCCAUUUAGUCCUAUCUCCUCCUGCCUUUGUGCACCAAAAGCCAUUAGUAUUGCCCCUGACAGAUGUCCACCCAGCCUCAAUGUUAAUAAUAAUAAUAAUAAUAAUAGUAAUAAUAAUAAUAAUAAUGGUUGUAAGAGAAGAAGAGACCCCUUGGGUCAUUUAGCCCAACCCCCUUCUGCCCUUGUGCCGUGGGGGCCGGAUAAAUGGCUUCGAUGGGCUGCAUCCGGCCCCCGGGCCUUAGUUUGGGGACCCCUGGUCUAGGGUUCUGUGUGUUGAGUGUUCCAUAUCUGUCUCCCAAACACCUCCCAAAGUUCAAUCAAUGGGUCCUCAUCGCAGGGACUCCUCUCUUUCCCUGUUGUAAUGCUUCCCUUUAUCUCCUUGCAGACCUGAAACUCCGCAGAUGGGGAAAAGGCUGUCUCUGUGAGGAGUGGAAAGAGGUCUUCCUUGCACUGAGGGGCCCUAGCUCUUCCAGAAUGAUGGACAGCAGCCUCUUCCUCUUCCUCCUCCUUCUGAGGGGGGUCCCAGGUGGAGGCCUCCCCCUCCCAGCCCUGGUUGCCCUGACCCAUCCUGUCAGCAGGUUGUGUUGAAGCAAAACUGGGGGCGUCCGUCCCUGUCUGGAGAGGAAACCCACCACCCGCCCUGAUCCAGAGAUGGAGGGCAAGCUCGGGGGGUCUUCCAGCGCAGGUGGGUGAUGGCUGCACAAUCCCUUGAACCUGGCAGGGAGGCUUAACGGGUCUGGGGCAGAGGGUCAGUUCUGGGGGCCACAGGGGGGAAGGGGUUCCAAUGUCUGGAAGGUUCAGUCACUGAGGAGGUCCUGUUCACCUUGCUCCCCAAGUGGGACCAAAAGAUACCAAAAAAUCCGUAGGCUGGAUGGCCUUUGUCGGGGGUUGUACUGGAUAGUUCUUGGGUUCUCUUCUGACACAAUCCUGCCUGUACUUCUAUGAUUUUAAUCCUUCACCAUCCAAGGAUACACAGAUGCUGGGAUCUGAUAGGUUUCAGCUGGAAGACCCUCAGAUCCAAUGACCAGAUAAUAAUAAUAAUAAUAACUUUAUUUUUAUACCCCGCCUCUAUCUCCCCGGAGGGGACUCAGGGCGGCUUACAUGGGGCCAAGCCCGAAUAAAAACAGUAGCAGUAUAAAACACAGCAAUAGACAACAACUUGCACAAUAAAAAAAU